rnacentral:sRNA from 1 species
CAUGACUUUAAUACGGAAAUGAUGCGAAC